GUUUUGUAUUUUCCCCGCGUGCCAUUCUUCUCCACCGCCGAAUUCACCCGUGCCCUAACCUCCUGGCGCCGGCGGUUACCUCUUUCUCUCCGAUCGAACGCCGGCCAAGCUUCUUCUUCCCCUCUCUUCCUCCUCGCCAGCGUUUGAGCAAGAGUCGCCAGAUCCCUCUCUUCUGCCCGACGCCGUCUGUGCCCUAGCCAUCGUCUUGGCCGCGCCUCCUCCACCCGACAGCGAUGUCGCCGCACGGGACAGUGCCGACGACACUCGAGCCAACGCCAGCCGAGGACCCUACUAUUUCCUUUCCCCUCGUGGCUGUGUCCUAGAGCAGUGCCGCCGAUUUCCUCUGUGCCAACUCCGACUACUUGACGCAACCAUCCAGCCGCCCUCAGUGUGCCCUAGAUCGUCGGCGCCGAUUGGGGCUCAGGACAUAGAGGUCAAGUUGAGCCAGGAGAAUUAAGUGUUGUGGUGAUUUUGGGAUUCAACAGCCAUUCAUUUCAGCCACCCGGGUCCAGCAGCCAUGAACUUUGCAGUGGAUCAGUGAUUUCCUCUUCUGAUCUUCUUCUUUGUUGUGUUUUCUCUGCUGUGCUUGUUUUUCCUCCUGGCUGUGGAUCAAGGGCACGAGAUUGGAGAGGAAGAGUGAAGAAGUCUUUGUUGAGAAGUUUCUAUUCUUGUCCAACGACUGCAUUUCCUUGCCGUGUGUUAACAGGGAGCAACUAUAAUAAGGGAACAUUUGAUGUGGAGGGCAGCAUCCUUUUACCCUGUUUUAGUUGGCCAGCAUUGUUAACUGGCGAUCACAGCAUCGGUCAUUCUGUUUUGGGCAGGGAAACCCUUUGACCCUGAGCCACCAGCGACCAUCCUGGAUUUUGGGACUUUGACGCGAGACGAGCAUCUCGACGUUGGACUUGACUGGAUUGAACCUGCU